GGAGCCGUCCGGCGCAGCAGUUUCUAGGUCCCCACUGUCCCCGCCGUCCCGCCCCUUCGCGUCCCGGGAACCGGCUGGCUUCCGAGCCGCACUCGCCGAUCCUCCAGGCAUGCCCCGCUACGAGCUGGCUUUAAUCCUGAAAGCCAUGCAGCGGCCAGAGACUGCUGCUACUUUGAAACGUACGAUAGAGGCCCUGAUGGACAGAGGAGCAAUAGUGAGGGACUUGGAAAACCUGGGUGAACGAGCGCUUCCUUAUAGGAUCUCUGCCCACAGUCAGCAGCACAACAGAGGCGGUUGCAAGUGGAUGGCAAGCUUCCUUGUGACUUCUCAUCCUGGCAAUUUUCUGGAGUGUUUGUGACUGGACUUUAACAUUUCCAAAAUGUGGCGACAGUGACUGUUAAGUCUUCCCAAAGACGAGGGUUCCUGGGAGCCCCAGGGCUGCAAGCAUCAGGACAGCAGAGACCAAAUUCAUCAUUGAAUCCUCAACAUCUAGCACAAUAUGCCUGGCAUAAGAUAUAUCAAGGUGUACAGACUAUAUUUUUGCUGAUUUAUAAUUCAACUGCAUUGUAGUAAUGGAACCCAGUCUACAUAAAGCUGAUAUUUAAAAAUUUGGUUGGACUUCUUUUGUGACCCAGCACAUG
rnacentral:lncRNA from 10 species